rnacentral:rRNA from 1 species
UUGUACUGCCAAACCACUUUGAACACACCCGAUAUAAUCUGGUUUGAGAAGCUAAGCAGGGUUGGGCCUAACUAGUACUUGAAUUGGCGACUACCAAGGGAAAUCGGGAAAUUCAAA